rnacentral:rRNA from 1 species
GUGCUCUUCGUGAGCUUCGUGGUUCGUCUUCCGUUGCGUGGCUCGAAGCUCGGACGGGUUACGUCAAAGCUCUCAGGCGCCCGGCCGUGCCGCCGUGCGGUCUGAGGGUCUGGCCCUGGAAUGUAGCUGAGGCCGGCAUGCCGAUCCUGCAGAAGGGAAUCCGCUUCCGACUCGUCGGCUGCCUGGGCGCGCGACUGGUGCGCGCUCUGCACGCCACGUGGCGCAUGCACGUUGUCGAUCCAGGCGGCGUCCGCGAGCGGGUGCGCAGCGCCGCACGACCGCUCAUCGUCACCUUCUGGCACCGCCACAUCCUCAUCAUGCUCGCCCACCACCGCAACUUCCCGG